rnacentral:misc_RNA from 1 species
CAAUAUUCCUGCUGACGGGUUAACGCCAAAUAUAUUUUGAACGACGAAGGAUCAAUUUUCCUGCGAGACAUCCAGUCGAUCCGAGUUUAAUGCGGGACAGGAUCAAGUUCGAGAAGAACGUCUGGUGCCUCUGCGCACUUUUACAAGUCACACGGUUUUUCAGAGAGCAGUGUCUCUACAAUCUCGACACGUUUUAACUACGUUUGCACGCAAAAAGUAACCUUAGACAAAGCAGAGUAAAAACAAAGAAUUUUUCAAUCAUAGGUCGAUAGCGAGAGUUAAAGAAGAACAUUUUACAACUUUUCUAGACCAACAGCCCCACUUGUUACGUCGAAGCUGUGCAAUACAAUUCUAUAAGGUUCGACAUCGGUAACGUUGAUCUGUUACAUCAAUCUUUAAAAAAAAAAAACUGAAGGUGAUCGCAUAAAUCACUCGAAGACUCGUUUCCCUCUCAAAGGGGAUUCGUCCAGCGUAUUCAAUACUCCUGAGACGAGGAAGAUGAUUACCAUGACACGGUUGCAUAAGAGAACGCCAAAAAGAGUAUCGUUCU